UACGUAGGGGGCGAGCGUUACCCGGAUUUACUGGGCGUAAAGGGGGCGUAGGCGGCCGUGAAAGUCCGGUGUGAAAACUCACGGCUCAACCGUGGGACUGCGCUGGAAACUACACGGCUUGAGGACGGUAGAGGGAGACGGAACUGCUGGUGUAGGGGUGAAAUCCGUAGAUAUCAGCAGGAACGCCGGUGGAGAAGUCGGUCUCCUGGGCCGUUCCUGACGCUGAGGUCCGAAAGCUAGGGGAGCAAACCGG
rnacentral:rRNA from 1 species